GGGUCAGUGAUGGAUAAUUUACUGAAGUCAUAGGAAGACAAAUGUAAUAAGGUAGAAAUAAAGUCAGACCCUCUGUCAGUCUCCAUCCAGGAGGGCUUGAAAGGGCCCAGCAGCUGCCCAGUGACAACUGUCAUCGCUCACCCAGUGAUCUGUUAAUCAGGUAUAACUAAGGUGCCAGUGAUUCUCCCUACUGGGAAAUGCUGGGUGACCAGCAGGGGGUGACCACGUGGUGUUGGUGACAUUGACUGUCCUUUACACUUUAGGGCAGGUAGCAACAUCCCUGUUCCUACCCACUAGAUGUCAGUAGCAACCUCCAAUCCUUCCAGUUGUGACAACAGAAAUGCCAGGAGAUGUCAAAUAUUCCCCACAGGACAGCAGUGCCCCACUGAGAUCCACGGAGUUACAGUGACUUCAUUGCACAGCUGUUCCAUCAGGUCCCAGAUACUACCCCAUGACAGGACCUGGGAGAGCAAAAGCAAAGCCUUGGAAUCCCUACAGGCUUCCAAGUGUAACUGGCUUGACCCACGCUACCAUCUCGUCAGCAAGAACGCACGCAGGACACUCGGAUCCGUCUGCAGUAAAGCUUUAAUGAAUCUCAAGAGAUAGAUGAUCAGCUUCAGGAGAGGAGACCCAGAGAGCAGAAAACCCUUCCCUUAUAUAGGCUGCGAAGUAAGUUUGGAGACGUGCACUAGCCGGAUUGGCUGCCCACCAUCAGCCAGAUGACGCCAUGGGAGAGGCAGGGCUCAGGUAAUGGAAAGAUACCCUGACGCCUGCGCACACUACUUGUUUUUCACCACGAGCAACAGAUGUCAGCGCCAUUUUGUAAUGGCGACCGUGAGGGCGGCUCCUCACACUGGCUAGUUUUGUGUCAACUUGACACAGCUGGAGUUAUCACAGAAAAAGGAGCUUCAGUUGAGGAAAUGCCUCCACGAGAUCCAGCUGUGGGGUAUUUUCUCAAUUAGUGAUCAAGGGGGAAAGGCUCCUUGUGGGCGGGACCAUCGCUGGGCUGGUAGUCUUGGUUCUAUAAGAGAGCAGGCUGAGCAAGCCAGGGG
rnacentral:lncRNA from 1 species